rnacentral:rRNA from 1 species
AUGGAGUUCACUCUUGAACCCAAAGAAGGAGGUGAAGGCAGGAAGAGGAAAGAAAGGGUCAAGAAGACCAUUGCCAGAGUUAUUGGCAAGCCAUCAAUGAUGAGAGAUGAUGAAGAAGAGGAAGAGGAUGCUGCUCCAGCACCCAAAGCUCAGAAGCUUAUGGGAGAUGCUAUAAAGUCAGGGGCUGCUCCAUCAAAGCCCAAGUCUUCUCCCAAAGCUCCAGCUCAGAAGUCUGCUCCAAAGAGAAGCACUAGAAAGAUUCCAGCUGCAGAAAAGAACAACGCCCCAGUGCCUGAGACUGUUGAUGAAGAAGAUGAUGAAGCCCAAGUGCUAAGGAAGCUCAAGCCCAAGAUCCCUGGCCACAAUGAUGCACACCCUGUUGCAGAAAAUAUGAAGAUCAGGAAGGAUUCAGGACUGAGAUUAUGGAGACAGUCUGAUCGAUAUGCUGUCGGGAGGAGAACUGCUGUGGAUUACAGGUUCCACACAAAGGAACAACAAGACUUUUAUGAGACUGUCCUACUUGACAAGAAGCCCAUAGGGUGUGACAUGAGAUGGGUUGACUGGGAGUACAUCAAAGAGAAUGAAGAUCACUAUCCAGGAGUAUAUGACAGCUUCAAAGCAUGUGGAAUUGAUACAUUUGUUGCCCAGAAGCUCACCAAGUGGAAUGAUGAGCUCAUCAUGCAGUUUUACUCCACAACCCACUUCUAUCCAGAUUGA